rnacentral:rRNA from 1 species
GAUGAACGCUGGCGGCGUGCCUAAUACAUGCAAGUCGAGCGAACAGACGAGGAGCUUGCUCCUCUGACGUUAGCGGCGGACGGGUGAGUAACACGUGGAUAACCUACCUAUAAGACUGGGAUAACUUCGGGAAACCGGAGCUAAUACCGGAUAAUAUAUUGAACCGCAUGGUUCAAUAGUGAAAGACGGUUUUGCUGUCACUUAUAGAUGGAUCCGCGCCGCAUUAGCUAGUUGGUAAGGUAACGGCUUACCAAGGCGACGAUGCGUAGCCGACCUGAGAGGGUGAUCGGCCACACGGGAACUGAGACACGGUCCAGACUCCUACGGGAGGCAGCAGUAGGGAAUCUUCCGCAAUGGGCGAAAGCCUGACGGAGCAACGCCGCGUGAGUGAUGAUGGUCUUCGGAUCGUAAAACUCUGUUAUUAGGGAAGAACAAAUGUGUAAGUAACUAUGCACGUCUUGACGGUACCUAAUCAGAAAGCCACGGCUAACUACGUG